GGAAGUAAAAGUCAUAACAAGGUUUCCGUAGGUGAACCUGCGGAAGGAUCAUUAUUGUAUAACCGAGGUGCGAGGGCUGUCGCUGACCCGAAAGGUCGUGCACGCCCGAGUGCCCUCACACACAUCCAUCUCACCCCUAUGUGCACCACCGCGUGGGUCCCCCUUUGGCUUGUUCGGAGGGGGGCUUACGUUUUCACACAAACUUUGUAUGCAGUGUAGAAUGUAUUUUUUGUUUUUGCGAUCACGCAAUCAAUACAGCUUUCAACAACGGAUCUCUUGGCUCUC
rnacentral:misc_RNA from 1 species